UGGGUAUCCACUGAGGUUGAUCUAAUCAAGAGUCUCGAUCUCAUCGGGGUGCUAGCUCUCUUAUAGAGAUCGCUCUCCGGAUUGUCGAAUCGGUUUGAAAUCUGAUCAAAUCUGAUUUUUUUUUUCUACUUUUCUCUUCUCAAAAGAAAAUUCAAGAUCUAUAGAAGAAAAUAAGUGAUCAAAUUUUUUGAUCUUCCUUCUUGUCCAACUCUUGGACUAGAUUUGAGGAAAGGAAGAGAAUCGUCCAUCUCAUGGAUCAAA
rnacentral:lncRNA from 1 species